CAGUGAAGAUGGGCGCAGAGCUCUUCACCGUCUCGGCAAAGGAAACGGCCACAUUCUUCAGGCUCACCAGACCCAGCACCACACUGGUGAACCUACAGAAUGGAACAGCAUAAAGUACUCUGUAGCCACUCAGUGUGGACACCAGGUUUUAUCCGCUGUUUUGGUGAACCCCUCCCGCAUCUGAACUGUCUGACACAGACGGCACAGCAUGAUCAUAGGUAUGUUUUGAUGUGCGAGAGAAAGCCAGUCCCAUCAUCGCCACCUCACCUGCUCUUAAAAUAACCUUCGGGCCAACUGGGGGCCCAAGGCUGGUUAGGAGACACCGCAAUUGUGAAGAACUGAGAGAAUAUUAGGGUAGCACUGUAAUUCAUGAAUCAUAUGCUGUCUACCGCUGUUCUUAACUCUUUCCCUUUCUGUCUUCUACACCUCUCUCCCCACCUCGUCUUUCUUCCUCAAUUUAUAUGUGCAUUGAAGUACAGAUUGAACUUGUAUUUAUAAUAUACCAAUUAUCAUAAUUAUAAUGUAUUUAUAACACCUGGAUAAUGAACUUCUUUCAAUAAAGCGUUUCACAUUCUC